AGUCACCAACCCCAGGAGGCUCAGCAAGGACCUUGUCCAGCUUUUUGGCUGAAAGUAUCUAAAAAUCCAUUGAAGUCCUAUUUUUGAGCAUAAACCCUUUCUUGGACCUCACCCCAAGAAACACAAACAAAGCUUCAGUUCAAGUCGUCCCAGAGCCAGCACUCAGGUUACACAGGACAAAAGGUGCUCUCAAUCCAAGCGACAAGAGGUGAACUCUGCAGACAGAGCAAUCUACAGAAUUGCUAACAGGUGGGUGUGAGCAGCUGAGAAACCGCAGCAGAGAGAAGCCAGGACUGAAUGCACCUCCUGGGGUGAAGGAAGGCACGAGCUGCACCUGAACUCCUUCUCACUCUGUGUCAUGUUUGUUGCUUACAUCUCCUCACAGCCUGUCUCCUGCUAAAACUUUUACCCUCCUGUGGGGACUCCAAAAUCAUUACUCUGUUUUGUCCCACUGCUGUCCUCACCAACUGUCCAUGUACAGCUGUUGGUUGCAGCCACAGAAUAUCCUGGGUUGGAAGGGACCCUCAAAGAUCAGAGUCCAGCUCCCAGCUCCAUGCAGGAUGCAGGAGGAAACAGGCCAGAAACAAAGACAAAUCUCGCUGAGCUCCCCUGCUCUAUGGGCUGUGCUCUAAGAUGAUAAAUACACCUUGUUAAAGAGAGAGAGAGAGAGAGAGAGGAAAGGCCACAUGGCAAUUUCAGAAAAUGGAAGUGAGUUCAAAAGCAGUGUCCCACGAGAGCUCCCCUCAGUCUCCUUUCUGGCAGAAGGAGGUGCCCAGCAGCCCCACGCUCUGCAUUUGGCUGUUGGUGCUUUUCUCCACCCUACUGCGUCAUACAACAGCGUCACGAGUCACUACGUACACACAGUACUGUAUGUGCUUUGUCAUCACGUUAAUUGCAGGUAUUUUAUGACGGGACACCAGCAGAUGUCAGUUUAAUCUCAAAAAUGAAUGCCUCUGCAUAGAUUAUAGAUUUAUCAGCCUUUGCUUCAGUGAGUUUCCACCAAAGUAACCACAUUUAGCUGGGAAUCGGAAGUCAGCGUACGUUUGAUGUGCAGGAUAAAUAACCAAGUCUUAAUGUCACCUUAUUUUUUCCUGCCUGGAAAUCAAAGGAUUGCACACACGAUUUUUUUUUUGUGGCCAUUUUGCAUAUACUAAUUUGUCAAUGCAAUGCAAUAUGAACAUUUAAUACAAGAAGAAUACAGCCAGUCAUUUUGUAAUUGCAAUUGUCAGUCAAUAUCCUGUCCCACACAAAAGCUUACAUUUAAGUCACUCAUAGGUUUGCUUUUCAAAAUACAAAUAUUUUAAGGUAGAAACAGGUAAGCUUGAUAAGAUUGGAAAACGAAAACGAAGCAACAGUGCCAUCUAGAAGUGCAGUGCUGAAGACAGGAAAUACUUUGGAAGAUUUAAGUUCAAAGUAAUGAACCAAACCAACCCAAACCUCCAAAACAAUCCUUCCUACAUCUUUCACUGCUCCAAGCAUGGGCUGGGAAAGGUGUCCCUCAAAGUCCCAGGGCAUGAACUUCCAGAGGGGAUGAGUGCUGAUAAAAGACAAAGUACUUACACUCGUAACAUCAGAUGGUGCUUAAUCAAAAUGCAGCUUCUCCCAGGGGAAUGUUGGCUGCCUCACAACGCAGAGAUUGAAUUUUAAUUAAACUGAUAGAGGAAACUCAGAGCUGAGGUUUGAGGGCUGCCAUGAAGCCGGGUACCUUCAGUGCUCACUGCUCUGCGGUGAGCAGUUGGGCAUUAAUAACUUCAGAUAUCUCCAGAUAAGUUCUGUGCAUGGCCCAGGGAGAAGAGAAAAAGAAUGGAGAGCCAUAAAUACACCCUCAGCUUCAAAAACUCUUUCAUGAGAAGAGAUUUCAUGACUGAGUCUUGCAAUUCUACCAGCAUGGGAACUGUAGGGAAACAAAGCAAGAAACCCCCUCAUAUGACAGAUAAGAGAAGUGAUGUCUUCAAGUCAGCUCUCAGACACAUUAUCUUGCAUAAAUCUUGUUUCUCAA